GAUGAACGCUGGCGGCGUGCCUAAUACAUGCAAGUCGAGCGAACGGACGAGAAGCUUGCUUUUCUGAUGUUAGCGGCGGACGGGUGAGUAACACGUGGAUAACCUACCUAUAAGACUGGGAUAACUUCGGGAAACCGGCGCUAAUACCGGAUAAUAUUUUGAACCGCAUGGUUCAUAAGUGAAAGUCGGUCUUGCUGUCACUUAUAGAUGGAUCCGCGCUGCAUUAGCUAGUUGGUAAGGUAACGGCUUACCAAGGCAACGAUGCAUAGCCGACCUGAGAGGGUGAUAGGCCACACUGGAACUGAGACACGGUCCAGACUCCUACGGGAGGCAGCAGUAGGGAAUCUGCCGCAAUGGGCGAAAGCCUGACGGAGCAACGCCGCGUGAGAGAUGAAGGUCUUCGGAUCGGAAAACUCUGUUAUUAGUGAAGAACAUAUGUGUAAGUAACUGUGCACAUCUUGACGGUACCUAAUCAGAAAGCCACGGCUAACUACGUG
rnacentral:rRNA from 1 species